UACGAAGGGGGCUAGCGUUGCUCGGAAUCACUGGGCGUAAAGGGCUCGUAGGCGGCCAACUAAGUCAGACGUGAAAUCCCUCGGCUUAACCGGGGAACUGCGUCUGAUACUGGGUGGCUUGAGAUUGGGAGAGGGAUGCGGAAUUCCAGGUGUAGCGGUGGAAUGCGCAGAUAUCAGGAGGAACACCUAUUGCGAAGGCAGCUCGCUGGGACGUUACUGACGCUGAGACGCGAAAGCGUGGGGAGCAAACAGG
rnacentral:rRNA from 1 species